rnacentral:rRNA from 1 species
UACGGAGGGUGCAAGCGUUAUCCGGAUUCACUGGGUUUAAAGGGUGCGUAGGAGGGCAGGUAAGUCAGUGGUGAAAUCUCCAAGCUUAACUUGGAAACUGCCGUUGAUACUAUCUGUCUUGAAUACCGUGGAGGUGAGCGGAAUAUGUCAUGUAGCGGUGAAAUGCGUAGAUAUCUGGAGGAACACCGGUGGCGAAGGCGGCAUCCUGGACCAACACUGACACUGAAAAGCGAAAGCCAGGGGAGCAAACGGG